rnacentral:rRNA from 2 species
UCGGGAAUAUUGGGCAAUGGAGGAAACUCUGACCCAGCAAUACCGCGUGAAGGACGAAGGUCUUCGGAUUGUAAACUUCUGUUAUAAAGGAAGAAAAAAAUGACGGUACUUUAUAAGUAAGCACCGGCAAACUACGUGCCAGCAGCCGCGGUGAUACGAAGGGUGCGAGCGUUGUCCGGAAUGACUGGGUGUAAAGGGUGUGUAGGUGGCUUAUUAAGUUAAAAGUGAAAGCCCGGGGCUCAACUCCGGAACUGCUUUUAAUACUGGUUGGCUUGAGUGUGGGAGAGGUAAGUGGAACUCCUAGUGUAGCGGUGGAAUGCGUAGAUAUUAGGAAGAACAUCAGAGGCGAAGGCGACUUACUGGAACAUUACUGACACUGAAACACGAAAGCGUGGGGAGCAAACAGG